rnacentral:lncRNA from 1 species
AGCCUCCAUCCUGCUUCACAUUCAAGGGGCUUCUAGGCCAUUUGCACUUCGUUUACACCUCAUUAAACUGCCCACAUUAUAUGCCUGGGUCCCAGGUGACUGUGGGAAAAGAUCAAGGUUUCCUGCAACCUCACUGGGCAUUUUCAGAAUGAUCUGUACAAGCGUUGACUGAAUGAUUGAUUCCAAGUUCCCCCUUCCUAGGAUUUCAGACCUCCUCUUGACAAGUGAUGAAUGGGCCAUCUUAAUCUUGUUUGGAUCAGAAAGGACCAUACAAUUGAGCUUUAGACAAGACUAAAAAUAUCAAAAGUAGCACUCUGCAAUUUUAUGUGCAUGUGGCUUGAAGCUCUGACAACAACACAAAAGGUUAGAAAUCUGCCUCCUCAAGGCUUCCUGAUAAUUGAGGUCUAGAUCUUCAAAGUACAGCCUGAGCCACAGGAAAGAAGUCCUGGCUUUCUCUGGCCUUGUGACCUGUUCAUAGCACAGCCUUUCAGUGGCUGUCUCUCCACGACUCUGAGAUGAUCCAGCCUGAGUCA